rnacentral:rRNA from 1 species
UGGGGAAUCUUCCGCAAUGGGCGCAAGCCUGACGGAGCAACGCCGCGUGAGUGAUGACGGCCUUCGGGUUGUAAAACUCUGUCUUCUGUGAAGAAUACGCCUGUGAGUGGAAAGCUCAGGCUUUGACGGUAACAGAGGAGGAAGCCCCGGCUAACUACGUGCCAGCAGCCGCGGUAAUACGUAGGGGGCAAGCGUUGUCCGGAAUCACUGGGCGUAAAGCGCGCGCAGGCGGUCAUUUACGUCUGGGGUGAAAGCCCGGAGCUCAACUCCGGGAUUGCCUUGGAUACGGGAUGACUUGAGGAUCGGAGAGGCAAGGGGAAUUCCACGUGUAGCGGUGAAAUGCGUAGAGAUGUGGAGGAACACCUGUGGCGAAGGCGCCUUGCUGGCCGAUUUCUGACGCUGAGGCGCGAAAGCGUGGGGAGCAAACA